CGCGAUAUGACGAGACAACGUCGGGUUCACAUGUUACACGAGAAUCUGGCGUAUAAGGUUAGCUUCCUCCCUCCCGUUUUAGGAAAGUUUGUUUCAUCCAAAUACUUCCCUUUAUAGGUAAGGCUGAACUGAAGUGAGUUCUCCUUCCUGCCAAGAAAAAAAAAGUCUGACGAAAAAGCGGAUGAUGUCUUCUACAAUGGCUUCACUCCAAAUGUCUUUGAAAGAACAAGAUGAAGGAUAAAGGCCAGAUCAACCGAUAGUAAGGAAGCGACCCAUGUCUUGUCUGGGAUUCUGCCGGAGCAGACCGGUCAGUCACCUCACGGCGCCAGAGGACACAACGCAACGCCUGCUGCCUGAUAAAUCACGGGACAAAUCAACAGAGCUCGGCUUGUGUCACAUAAUGAUAAGAGACAGCUUUGUGAAAACCAGAGGUCUGGAGUUUUGUCAGUGGAGGCCAGGUGAGCGAGGCCUCUUAUUGGUCGGAGAGCAGCAGCAGGAGCAGCCACCCGAGGCCCAGCAGCAGGGACAGGCGGAGAGGUUCGACUCCGCGGUCCGACAGGCCCGGAGAGGGAAGAGCGGAGUCUCCCUCGUCGCCCCACAAUCUGUCGUUCUCGUUUGCCUUGAAGAAAACAGACACGCGUCAUGAUUAGUCAUCACAAAUUCUGUUAUCUGCGUCCAGAUUUCACACCGG
rnacentral:lncRNA from 1 species